CCCGACGACAAUAGUGCUGUGGUCCCACCUGACUCCAUACCGAACUCAGAAGUGAAACGCAGUUACGCCGAUGGUAGUGUGGGGAUUCCCCAUGUGAGAGUAGGGCAUCGUCGGGG
rnacentral:rRNA from 1 species